CGGAUUGCCCGGAGAAAGGCAAAUGGGGAUCAUGCCCGGGCCUGAUGACAAGAGGCCAAUUUCGAUGUCCCUUUUCUCUCAUUGCGGUGCUUCCCUUUCAAGCCCAAAUCUGGUUGAGCAGCCUGGGAAAAUGGCUUUUUACUCACCUUUCCUGUCUCCGAGUUGAGAGGACAAGAUGAGAGCAUCGGGCCGUUCUUCGAGGCGGGCAGCGCUUCGGACCCCAAAUUCCAGACGAGGGUGGCGGUGUGAGCCGGACGAGAGGGAGAGACUGGAGGUGAGAUGACGCAGGCCAGGCAGAUGCAGCUGGAUGUGGGAGAAGACGCCGGCUGAGUCGGCUGAGGCUCAGUGGGAGAGACGGAGCGUCCUUCAAUCAGAGGAUCGGCAGUUCGAUGCCGGGCUACGCUAAUCCGCGUCCGUGUGCAGGACCCUUGGCAUCCAAAUCGGCCCCUUAGCUGUGCCGACAGAGCAACGUGAUCUCCAAAAAACCUGUUCCUAAAAAUGUGUACGAAAAUCUUGAACAUACAAAUUGGUAACAAUACAUAGGAACUGGCGGUGGUUAACCACGCCCCUUGAGUGAACAACAUGGCGGACCAUGUCAGAUUCUUGAGUCAACGUCUCUCCGCCAUGUUGGAUUUUUUGAGGGGGUUAGGGUUAGUAUUCUGUUCUUACAAGUUAACAUUGAUUUCCCGUUAAAAAUGCAAUCAUAACACGUUUAUUUUACAUCGUUAGACUUGUGUGUGUUUACGGGGCGCAGGUCCCCGUUCACUUUGAAUAGGGCGACGUCAUCAGUUGCAGUCCGUAUUUAUUUAGUAUGUAUCACUACAAAUUUGUAUCUUCAAGAUUUUCGUAUACAUUUGUACGAACAGGCUUUGGAGAUCAGGCUGGACAGAGUGAAUGUUGUAUGAGUGUUUAUUCGUUCUGAGGGGCAUCAGUGUUCAGAUUACAUGUGAAUGGCUUUGAGUGGUCUGGUUUUAAAAAAACUUUUAUUCUCUCGACAUACUAUUACUAACUCUUUAAUGACAUUUUUUCUAUCCAAUGCAUUCGUAUAAUCUUAAGUCAUGACUUCUUUCGGCACUCUUUUUUGUGUACAAUACAGUGAUGAUUAAUGACUCUUUACACUAUGAGUUUCUUGAGAUAUAUAUAUAUAUAACUAUAACUAAAACUUUUAAUGACUAUUCGCAACAUACUCUUCUCCAACUUUUAGGUUAUUUUUCAAUGUACUUUGUAAUAAUUCUUUUAAAAAUAAUAUACUGUUAUUUAUUUUCUUUAACUAUACUGUACCAGUACUUUCUUUACAUUUUUGGAACAUUGUAUGUCACAACUUUUCAUAUUUACUUCACUGUGCAUUAUAAAACUAUACUAUG
ensembl:lncRNA